rnacentral:rRNA from 1 species
AGGUGGUGCAUGGUUGUCGUCAGCUCCGUGUCGUGAGAUGUUGGGUUAAGUCCCGCAACGAGCGCAACCCUUGCUAUUAGUUGCUAACAUUUAGGGUGAGCACUCUAAUGGGACUGCCUGUGACAAGCAGGAGGAAGGUGGGGAUGACGUCAAAUCAUCAUGCCCUUUAUGACCUGGGCUACACACGUGCUACAAUGGAUGGUACAGAGAGCAGCGAGACCGUGAGGUGGAGCGAAUCUCUUAAAGCCAUUCUCAGUUCGGAUUGGAGUCUGCAACUCGACUCCAUGAAGUCGGAAUCGCUAGUAAUCGCGAAUCAGAACGUCGCGGUGAAUGCGUUCCCGGGCCUU